rnacentral:sRNA from 1 species
GCUACUUAUAGCAAAAUAUUCUGAAACCCUAAUACUCAAAACGACGCAGUAUUGGGACGGAUUAAGAACUGUACUCGACCCCGGUGGUCGAGUGAGAGGUCGAGUGAAUAGCUGGAGUCUUCUUUUCUUCCUUGUGCUCGAGUGUCUGGUUGAGUGCGGAAAGGAGAAGACUCUGAAGCCCGCCAUCGAGUAGGUAGUCGAGUGGUGGUGAUGGAGAUACUCGACUUCUUGGUAGAGUGACUUGAUCGAGUGGUGAUCUGGUAAUGGAGGUGAAGAUACUCGACCUCGGGGUCGAGUGGAGUGAUCGAGUGAUGGUCAGGUGGUGGAGGUGAAGACACUCGACCAGGGGGUCGAGUGAUAUGAUGAAAUCGUGAAAUUCCCUACUUGAC